CCUUCCCUCCCCCUCGCUGGUCAGCCCUGGCUCACAGAGAGCUGUAAUUCUGUUUUCUUGAGACAUGAGCAUCUCAGGGGCAGAGCUAGAGUUUUGUUUUGGGGGGAGGGUCCCCAGCACCUGGUGCCUUUGGGAGAAGUGUGGGGGGCACCAGAUGUUUGUUGAAGUGACAAACCAGUGGAAAGCCACUCCCGUGGCCAGCUGUGGAGGGCAGGCGUGGAAUCUUCCUCCCAUGCACCUGUAGGCCUCCGCAGCCAGAGAUGCUGAGAGUGGACAUUGAGCAGCACCAAGCUACUGUAAGUCCCACCCCCAGUACCACCUCCCUCAAGCUCAAGCACUCCAACCCCUGUUCCUCCCUAGACUGACUUGGCUCCCAGCUAAAGGGCCAUUUCAGAAUUCCCAGUAAGAACCUUCUUCAUGUCUGUGUUUCGGCUAAACUUUCAAGAGGCCCUCAAAUGACAGGUUAAAUGUGUGGCCUCUGGGACAGGACAACCCGGAUUUGCAGUUAUGGCUCUGCUGCUCACUAGCUGUGACCUCUCUGUGCCUCAGUCUCCUCAUCUCGUAGAGAUGAGAAUAGACCCGAUUUCAUAACAGAGCCAUGAAGAGUAAACUAAGCAGCUCCUAAUGAAAUCCCCCCAAACAGUCUUCCGCACACAGUUAAGUGCUUAGCUGGUCUUUGUCGGGGUUUUCUUUGCAUGGUUCUUCUCUUGGUCUUCCAAAUCUCCUUCCCCUCAGCCGUGGCUCCCUGGAGCACUCAGCAAACGCCACUGUGUGUGGUCCUCACUGCAGGACACCCCAUGGAUUGCCCCAGUUGACUAAGCGAAGACCCGGGGGCCCAGAGUGGGGCUUCUAGAACAGCAAAGGGGGAUGGUUGCAGUCCCAGCUCCUCCCUGACUCUCCGCAGGACCUUGGCUAAUUAAACCUGUGUGAGCUUCAGAGACCCCCUCUCCAAAACCUGGGUUACGCCAGCAACCCUGGAGGGCGGCUGGAAAGAUCCAUGGGACAGUGUCUUCUCCUCAACAUUAGAAUGGAAUGCACAUACCUCCCGCUUAGGUUCCUGCAUCACAGGACCAAGGGCGUGAGUCCCCGGCAGACAGCCACCUUUAAAGGGAGGAAGGGAGGUGAGUUCUGGGGCAUGGAUGAGCCCCAGGAGAGGAGAAUGGGACCAGACACUGGACACUCAAUGCUCCCUCCCCACUUCCUCUUUUACAGUCUCCCUUCCAUUCAGACCCUCUGCCGGAAUCACAGUCCAAACUUCGAGGAAUCACUGCUUUCAUUAAGCAUUUGCCAGGUGCCAGGCACUAUGUCAGGGGCUCUUUCAUUCACCAUUUUAAGUUUUCUCAACAACCUGUAGGGAAGACACCAUUUAUCACCACUUACAAAUGAGGAAACCAAGGCUCAGAGCAGUUUGAUACUUUGCUUCAGCCCACGGCUGUCAGUAAGGGAUCCCAGACCCGUGGACCCUCAUGCCUCCUCCCCCUCCCUUCCCUGUUCAGUCCGUGACACUGGGGACUGGCUCCACCCUCCUGCAUCCGCAGGGUUGGCAGAGAAGUCUCGCCAGCAGCUGGGGAGGAGGGCUGUAUGCCGGGAAGCUGACAGCAAAGGCACUGAAUCUUCUGCUCCAGACCCUCCUUCUCUCAGAACCUUCCAAGAGGGCAGGUGCCCAGCACUGUGAGUGCCCACGUGGGGCCCUCCAGGGAGGAAGGAGAUGAAUGUCUCUGUGAGAUGCUCAGGAAAUGGUCCCCACCCACCAGCCUGGCCAAGCUGCUGGCUGUGGGGCACUUCCCCACCUUGUUGGUCUUCAUGGGACGGCCAUUCCUGAGGGCGCUGACCCUCAGAUCCCUUUGCUGAUGAGAAAAUCAGAUGCUGGGAAAGAUUCUGAGUAUUUUGCAAGCCGCUGCAGAUAGCACUCCAACUUGGGUCUUCUGACCUUCAGGCACCCAUCAAUACUCACGGAGCACACUCCAUGUGCGGGGACUGCUCUGGGUCCAAGGGACUAGCUAUGGACAAAACGGCACUUCUGCAAAGCCACUUCCGGCUGGGGCACCGGGACCCUUAUUCCACCCGCAUACUUUGCCUCUGGCCAGGAGUGGAGGCCCUCAGCAGAGGUUGGCUGAAAUAAAGAGAGGAGUAGAACAUUACACUCCAAAGAUAUAAUGCCGCCUCUCCUCAAGAAGCUGUCAGGUUUUAAUGGCAUGAGGACAAUUUACUUCAAGUAAAGUCCAAGCAGAUGCUUGAUGCUGGAGAAGUUACUUUUAAGCAGGUCUUUAAAAUUGGCUGAGAAUCUGAGGCUGUGCUCAGAGAGACUGUUAAAUCAUUGAAUAAUUUCUCCAAGACGUCAAGUUAGCUCUUAUAACAGGCCCCUCAAAUUAGCCUGAGAGCCCUUACAACAAACGAGUCUCUGAUUAAAAGAUUAAUGUGGUCUUA